UCUCCCAAAUCUCGCUCGCCACCCUCGCCUCUCUCGCUUAUACAAACAGAAACGAAAUGUAUAAAUUGCGCUUCUGUUUGUAUAAAGCGAGAGAAAAUUGUAUAUACACAUGCAAAUACAUAUAUCUUCGUCCUAUACACUUAUAAUUAUACAAUACAAAUAUUUCUCUGCCCAGUUUUCUUUUGCCUUUCUCUCUUUCUCGUUUUAUACAUACACAAAUUAUACAAUUG
rnacentral:lncRNA from 1 species